rnacentral:tRNA from 1 species
GAGGGUGUAGCUCAGUGGUAGAGCGCAUGCCUAGCAUGCGUCAGGUCCUGGGUUCAAGCCCCAGUACCUUCA